rnacentral:lncRNA from 1 species
AGCCCUGGCAUGUGUAUUUGAACUGCAUUUCUGGCAUGCAAGUAUGGUCACUGUUGUCAAGGUCCAUUAAUGUGUGUGUGGGGGGGGAACAAUAUUUGUUGAUGGAUAUGUUAAUCAGCUUUUCAUCAAUUUGAACAAAGUAUCUGACAAGAACAACUUACAGGAGGAAAGAUUUAUUUUGGCUCAUUUAUUUCAGAGGCUUAAGUCCAUGUUCAAUGAGCUCCAUUGCUCUGGGCCUGAGACAAGGCAGAAUGUUAUGGUGGAAGGGCAUGGUGGAGGAAAGCUGCUCAGCUCAUGGCAGCCAGGAAGCAGAGCAGAGUAGGGGAAGAGGAGGCCAGGGAGAAGAUCCCUAAAAUCCUUUUCUUAUGAGGAAGCAAAGUCCAUUAGUACAUCUACUACUAUGUUCCCAGCACGUGGCUUAGGCCUAAGAAUGGUAAUACACAUGCAAUAAAUAUUGUUAAAUGUGUGAAUAUACCAGACUGUGUCCUAACUGUGGUGGGUGAACCAAACAUGAAAUGGAUACAGAUCACAUGUUGGAGGAAUUCACCCUCCAAUAGAGGAGAUCUGACUGAAACAUAAACAUUUAAGGCAAUUAACAUCACAGGAAACACUAUCAGUCCUGAGGAAGGGACAUGUCUUAUAGCAUGUGAAUCACAAGAGACUCUGUUGACAGAUAACAUUGUACUGGGUGCUGAAUGGAGGGAAAGCCUAUACAAAGGCACUCUAAGGAAGCAUAGGGCAGAUGUGGACAAAGUGGGUGGAUCGAUUGAACUGGAACAUGGAGUACAUCAAGACUAAAACAAAAAGAUUGGAAAGCAGAGGUAGCACUAGAUUGUCAAAGAGUUCAUUGGCCAGGCUAAGAAUUCUGGACCCUGUUCUAGAGGCAGUGUUGGGUAAUGACUAGCCUUUUAAAACCUUUUAAAAAUAUUUUCAAAUACACAAUAAAAGUUGAAAUAAUAGUACAAUAAACAUUCAUAUAUUUGCCACCUAGAUUUAACAACAUUUUACCAUGUUGGCACGUUUGUUAUCUAGAGCAGCAUAUUUGUUAGCAUUGAUGAAUCUACAUGUUGCUUGAUCCAUAGAUAGAGGGGUGUGUGUGUGUGUGUGUGUGUGUGUGUACAUGUAUAUGCAUUUUAAAUAUAUGUAUGUACUCAUAUACAUAUAUAUGUAUAUAUACUUUUAAAAUAUAUACAUAUUACUAGUUUUGGGUGACUUCCUUUUUCUUUUUUUUGUUAAAUCGUUUCAAAGGAAAUUGCAGACAAUAUAAUUCUUCACUCCUAAAUAUUUAGCAAAUUUUUCCAAAUUUUUGAUGUUUGCUUUCCUAUCUACUGUACCAUUAUGCUGAGCAAAUGUAAGAACUGCCUAGCAACAUCUAUUACAAAUAUAUUUUCAAAUUUUCCCAUGUCCCAUCAGGAUCAGAAAGGUAAUUUUUUGCAGAACCAGAAUCCAAUGAAGCAUUUGAUGGUGUUCUUGUUUUGUAAUUCAGAACAAUGACCCCUGACUCUUUUGUUUGAUAUUGAUUAUCCAUAGUCUUUAUGUCUUAUCUUCUAUAAAACAGUUGUCUUAUAGAAUGCUUUACAUUCUUGAUUUAACUGAUUGUCUCCUUGGGGGUAUGUCUAACUGGUUUUUCAAUCCCUGUAAAUUGGAGGUUAGAUCUAAAGGUCUGAUUAGAUUCAACUUCAACAUUUCUGGCAAGGAAACUUCAUUAAUUUGUGAUGUAUAUUUCAUGCUGGAGCAUACCAGGGACCUCCUAAAACUGUUGGUGUGUUAGUGAUGCUAAAUUGGAUACCUGGUUUAAGGAGGGGACAGCCCAAUCCACCUGAUAUAAAAGUAUGUGUUUCUUCUUUGUGAUCACUAAGUGACCUGAGGGAUGCUUGGCAACAUAACUCAUAUUUUUGUAAUUGUUUGCAAUUUAUCAACCCAUUCAAGUGCAUUUAAUCACAAUAGCAUCCCUCUCAGGUUUCAUUUCUUUUAGAAGUAAAAAUUUAGCCUUGGAAUGCUUAAAUGAUUCUUCCAAGGUCUUAGAGUUAAUAAAUAGCAAAGAAAGGACUCAAAAAUAAAUAAGUUAACUUUAGUUCACUUAAAAACUUAAUCUCUGGGACUAGGGGUAUAGCUCAAUUGGUACAGUGCUUGCCUUGCAUGCACCACAAAACCCCAGCACAAAAAAUCAUCAUCGUCAUCAUCAUCAUCAUCAUCAUAAUCUCCAAUAGUCUAUGCUGAAUAUUUUUAGAGCAUUAUUUCUCCAUACUUCAAUAAGUAUUUCUCUCCUUUUGAAGCCAUUUUCUAAAAAAGGAAGUUUUUCUUUACUUUCUUGAAAUUUGUUUUUACAGGCUCUCAAAGCUAUUUCUAUUGCCCACUCAACUGGCAAAGUGUAACAGGUGCUGGAUUCCCCAAAAUAUCACACUUUUGACAACAUUCGUAACAAUAGUUCAGAAUAUUUAAAUGAUACACUAGUUGCUUAAUUUGUAUUUUUGUAACCUGUAAACAAAGUCAAUUGAUCAAAAGUAACGAAUUUCUGUCUAAAGUUAAGCACAUACAUGCGUAUUUGUGAUGCUAACACCAAGGAUCUUUAGGCCUGAAAGAGACAUAAAGUUAGAUCCUGCAAAUCUAUUUGCCCCCAAAGCUAGGUCAGCAACUCGUGGGGGCAGAGUUAAUAGAGGCAUGUGACAGUCUCGAAUCAAAUGAUAAGGAGUGUGGUGCGAUGCUAAGCGAACCAGGGAAGGAAAUUAAAGGGAUCCUGGAUCCAACAGGGGCCUGUGGAAAUUAUUUCUGCUCCCCCACCCCCACCCCGAAGCUGGGUUUCCAGCUCUGAGAGCGAAGCGGGCCCUUUAGGAGGACUAAGGAGGGGCCUGAUCGCCAAGAGUCGCUAUCUGUUGGAUCACCUCUUCCUAAGAAGACAUUAUGGAGGACUUAAUUCAUAAAGAAGAAAUUCGACAUCGCGCCCACAUCAAACAACAAGAGGAACCAACUAGCUGUCGUCUCCACCAACUUCCCUAAAGCUGGAAGCAGGCAGGCACGCCCCCAAAUCACUCUUCCCGGAUUUUAUUGGUUGUCCCAGUCUGCCCCUCUCUCAUGAAAAUCUCUUUCAUUGGUCAGUAUUCCCAAGCUCCUGCUUUCACAGACAAUUCCCGGAACCAAUCAUCUCCACGAAUCGCCCCGCCUCUCCGUCGACACGUGAGUGACAUAGACACUAACCAAUAAGAAAUGAAAAAAAAGAAUGUGACGAAAGGCUCCUCCUCCCAGGCUCAAGCGAUCAGUAAAUGGUAGAAAGGGUUGAGCGGCUGAUACCAACCACCAAUCCGUAAGAGCGGAAGAGGACGAUGAGAAGAGUGAUGGGAGGUGGUGACGUGGCGGUGACAGAAGCAUAAACUGAAAUGAGCGGCGGAAACACUAGCCAAUCGGCAACCAAACUGGCCGGCACUCUGCAUUCCCCCGUCCUCCCAGAGCGCUAGAGACUUCAGAAAAGCGCCAAUGAGGUUGUACAUGCAUCUGAUUGGCCUUCAUCUGAGCCAAUCAAAGGCGGAGCGUGUGGACGCGUCCCACCCUGGGCUCUCACUGGGCGGAGUAGAAUGACAGGCCCGAGAGAAAUGCCAAUGUCCGCGGGGUCUUCCACAAGUGACACUCCGCGGCACCAAUCGACGUCCUCCACCCCGGUCACCGAGCCCUCCUUCCUCCGGCGGGCCUGGCGGGGCGGGGACGCUGCGCGGCGGCGGCUGAUGCGCUAGCCGUGUGGGGCGCUCGGGGCGGCGGCGGCGGCGGCGGCGGCGGCUCUCGUAGGAGGUUCCGGUCCUGUAUCUCUGGGCGGCGGCGGCUCAUGGCGACGACCGAGCUGAGAGGAGUGGUGGGGCCGGGCCCGGCAGCCAUUGCAGCUCCUGGCGGCGGCGGCGCAGGUCCCCCAGUGGUGGGAGGAGGCGGCGGCCGCGGAGACGCGGGGCCCGGCUCCGGGGUCGCGUCAGGGACGGUGGCCACGGCAGCUGCGGGCGGCCAGGGCCCGGGGGCCGGGGGAGUGGCGACGGCUGGCCCAACCCCUGCGCCGCCGGCUGGGGGCUCGGGCGGCUCGGGCGCUGGGGGUUCGGGCUCGGCUCGAGAGGGCUGGCUCUUCAAAUGGACCAAUUAUAUCAAAGGCUACCAGCGGCGGUGGUUCGUGCUGAGCAACGGGCUUUUGAGCUACUACAGGUAACUGCUUCCGGGGCGCCGACACUCACCUUGCCUCCCCCACCGUAGCCCACAGCCCUGGCGCCCGGCGCCCUCACCAGCAGGCACGGCAGCCAAGGUCGCCCCAGGCCCUUUUCUGUCACUUGCGCAAAUUGACAGCCGGUGACAGAAGUCCACUUCCACGAAAUUGAAAGCCCCAGGACUUGUACCCGCACCCGUCCCCUGUUACCCCCCGUUGGUGCCAUAUCUCUCCUUCCCUGGCCUUUCCAUCAUUAAUUGGAGAGCAUCUGUUCUUCCAUUGUGUUUCCACCACCACAUGGGUGGGAUUAUUAAUUGUCCCAGCAAGGCACUGUUGUAGGCGCUAAGGGACACAUAGAAGAGCAAAGCCUAAGCACUGCUCUCAAAGAACUUAAUAGUGAAAGUCCCAAAGUCUUAGUUAUUUAUGCUCAGUCUCUAAAAUUCAAGGUUAUUCGUAGCCCUUGAUGUACCCGACCUUAAUCUCUCCACAGUCAGGCACCAAGACACCAUACACAAGGUGUCCUCAGGAUUCUGCCCCUUGCCUUUCUUAUCUCUCCAAGACUUAUGCAUACUUUCACCUUCUGGACAGCCCAGACUGGAGAUGUGCCCUCUUGCUUUGCUCUUAUUUUUGUUUGCCCCACCCCCUCCCGUGGAAAUGUUUGUUGUAUCCAACACUUCUGUGAUCUUUUUGGUUAGUUAGAAUUAUGUUUUAUUAAAAUAAGAAUCCAUGUCUUUGGUAUGGUUAUUUCUGUUCAACAUUGUUUAUUUUGGAGUAGUUAAUAUAUACUUAUCCUCAGUGACUCAGAACGUGGUCAUAACAUGCUAUUGGGCUUCUCCUAUUACUAUGUAUAAAGGUGUUGAUUUGGGGACAGGAUACAAAUAUUCCCCAAAGGCUGGACAUUGAGGCUGGGUGUUUUAGGUAUAGUAUUUGAUUGACUCCCAGCAAAAACCUGUGGGAGUUAUACAAUAUUCCCAUCUUUCUAAUGAGAAAACUGAGAUUCAGCAUGGGCAACUUUCCCAAGGUCUUGGAGGAGUCAGGAUUUGAAACUAAUUCUGUUCGCACCAACAUAACCUAAAACCCAGGUUAGUGUUACACAAAUCAGUCAGAUACAGAGGUAAAUUACUUAUCUAAAGCAAGUAAGUAUGGAUUAUGGUUACUGUAUAUACUUUAUACAAAAAGUGUGUUUUACAGGAGACUUUGCUCAAUAAACUGGCAUUUCUCAGUGAACAUUUUCCUAAAGACCAUUCUGUUUGGGACCCAAAACACUGCUGUUGAAGAGUGACUCACUUUGUGUUCCUUUUCCUUGACUGUAAUCAUUCUGCUACCAGGAGAGUUAGGUUGAACAAAUCUGUUUUCCAUCAACUCCACUACAUUGGCUUUUAGAGAAUUUCUUUUUUUUUUUUUAACCAUACAAUUUAUUUUUGAGAAUUUCAAGAAGAGAUUAAAGGUGGGAGCUGGAGGUUGUUGGUGAGAACACAUCUUUUUUUCGUAUCAGGAUUGAACCCACAGGUGCUUAACCACUGAGCAACAUCCCCAGCCCUUUUUAUUUUUUAGUUAGAGACGGGGUCACACUAAGUUGCUUAGGGCCUCGCUAAGUUGCUGAGGCUGGCUUUGAACUCACAGCCCUCCUGCCUUAGUCUCCUGACUUGCUGGGAUUAUAGGUAUGUGCCACCAUGCCCAGCCAGAACACAUUCUUAUCUGUAAGAUGCCUCCUAUAACUCCUCCUCACUGCUUAAACAUUAAUUGUGAAGUUGUAUAUAUCAUCUACAUUAUUGUAUUUAGAAUUGAUCUUAAUAUAACCAUUACUAACUUCUCAUCUAGGAUAAUCAGUUUAGUCUAAAAUUUUACUCUGCCCCAGUUUUUUCCCCUACUCAAGUUCAUGUUUUCUGGUUACUGUGACUGUUACUCUAAUGUUCAAUGUUCCUGACUUGAUUCAUCAAACACUAUUAAUACUGAUUGCCCAUUUAAAAAAAUUGUACAUCAGGUAAGGGCCUUAACAUGUGGUCUUUCCUUUCCUUUUCAUCCAAGUUAUGUUAUCUGCUUUCCAGGUCACUGGAUCCUUUGUUCAGUACCAGUCUUGAUCAGUGUUGAUCACUAUCUUUUCAAGUAUUUGUAACUACUUUUAACAUUUCUCCUAUGAUAGCUAGUGGUACCUGCCUAAUUGCAAAUAAAACUUCUCUUAAGACAUAUUCAUUCACUUAUUGAGAAACAUGUGAUUGGCCUGUCCUUAACAGCUAGUAUGUUCCCCACCCAUAAACCAAUGAAGCAUCAGGAUCUAGAUUAUCAAAUCUCUUCAGUACCCUCAAACUUGCUGUGAAGUACUUCUUUCCAACUAUUGGCUAUUUAUUCUUCACAACAGGGUACUUCUGGUCCCCGUCUCCCUUUGGAUUAUUUAGCCAAAUUGUCGUUCCUCCUGUUUUCAUGCCUCUUAAACCUGCAAUUUCUUGUGUAUCCUCUUUGCAAAAUAUUAUUUCCCUUUUAAAUGAAAUUAUGUGCUUCCUAGACCCAUCACUUUUUACCUAUCCUGUGCUUCCUUCCAUACCUGGUUACAUAGAUGAUCCAUUACUUAAAACCUUAUAUAGAAUCCAGGCUCUCCCAGAAGCAUCAUGACAGGCUAUACUGUUAAUUUUCAUGACUAGCUCUAAGAGAUUAAAUUACUAUUUCAGCUGACCUUUUAAGGCAGAGGUUUCUAGCCAGAAAAUACCACCCAGUACUUUAGUGUCUUAAAAACUUUUCUUUUUUUUUUUAAUAUUUAUUUUUUAGUUUUAGGUGGACACAAUAUCUUUAUUUUUUUAUUUUUAUGUGGUGUUAAGGAUCGAAUCCAGCGCCCCACACAUGCCAGGCAAGCAUGCUACCGCUUGAGCUACAUCCCCAGCCUUAAAAACUUUUCUUGCAAGAGAAAAGAAUCUUUCUAGAUUCUCACUAGUCAUUUAUAACCAUAGGUGUAUCUACCUAAACUUCAAGAGCUUUGAGGUCAAGCUUGCCUUAUUUCCAGGGUUCCUUGCAAUCUCUUAAGUUGUUGUAUACUUUAUGCUGUUUGAGAAACUUCUUUAGUGUGUGAAGAUGACCCAUGCAGAAAGAGAUUCCUAGGAAGUAGUUAGUGAAAAGUGCCAAUAAGGAGGAAUGUGAUAGAAGGUCCAAGUGGCACCCUUGGAAGAGAAAGCAAGGGUGAGCCAGCCUGUCAGCUGUGUGUCUGUAAUUCGGUCUGCAUUAUUCAUAAUGUAACUGAAGCUUGGGGGUGGGGAGGUAAGAAUAGAAAACACAGGGAUUCACAUUACAGUGUGGCAGGUGCAGAGGAUGGAAAAUGGCCCAGUCCAUUGAGACCCCCCUGGCGAUCCCAUACAGCUCAGUUGUGCAUUGGAGGAGAAAAAAAAAAAAAAUGUUUCAUGUGACAAACCAAAUGACAGCAAAUCUGUCUUCCUAAGCAUAGUAAACACACUUUUUCCAACAUACCAAAUCUUAGUUUCUGGAGAAUGGGGCGUAUGCCACCUCUGGCAUGCAGGAAUUCUGGAUGUGCCAGGUAUGUUUGGCCACUUGGCUUCACUGAAGAGGAAAUGAUUCUGCUUUGUACUGUGGCAUUUGGCAAAGGACUUUGACCUCUUUAUGUUCCCGGUUGGACAGGGAAAAAACUGCAUGCAGUCUGAACAUGCAGGUCCCUAGGCAUAACCAGCAUGGUGAAGAAAUUAGCACAGUUUUCUCUGUAUACACAAUUGUGCUAGAAGCUUGUUAUUUUAUGUGAAGUGCCUUGUGGCUUGUUGUCACCAAGUAGUGCUGUAAAGUUCAAAAGUUAGCCUAUUAAUAGAACUGUCAGUCAGUAGAGACUGGGAAAAUUUUUACACCCAGUCCUCAGUGCAGAUCUGCUGAAUCUUUCCUAGCUAUUAAUAGGAUGGCUUAGGAGUUCCUACCAAUAGAAGUCUGUGGACCUUAGAAAAGAACAUAUUCCAAAAAGAUUAAAAUGUCUUGUGAUUCUUUAAUAACUCUUUCUUUGCUCUCUCAGAUGGGCAAUUGUUCUUAUUUCAUAUCAUUUGAGCUAUAGCCAGCAUUUAAUCAUUGAAACAUUUAAAGAUGCCUUUUUACACUUCUGCAGUAUAAUUCUAAGCAUGGUAUGACAGUUCUGAUUUGGGCUGAUUUACAGUGAGGGGGAUGGUUCAGUUUAUAGAAGACAGAACUAUUCUUAGGGAAUGAGAUUGUCAUACAAAAUUUUGUUGCAAGGGAUAUAAACCUUUAUAACUUGCUAAGUAGAAAGUAACUCCUGACUGUGGAAGGGCAGGAGGGAAUUUUUUGAGGUGAGGGAAGUGUUCUACAUUUUGAUUGUGAUGGUCAUACAGUUGUAUACACUUGUCAAAACUCACUCAGUUGUACACUUGAGACUACUGAAUUACUAUUGCAAAUAGUUAUACCUCAAUAAUAUCUAUUUUUAAAAGGUUAACAGCAAGAGGAACAGUGGAAGAAUAAAAUUUGUUUAAGAAACAAUUCUUAAAGGCUCUGAAAUAAAUUCUCAAUAUAUUGUUUCUUGAAUUUUAGGGGGGUUGUUUGCAGGAACUAUAAUUAGAUUUCUAAGAUUACCAUAUUUUCAAGGACUCAGAAUUAUGUAAAGAAAUGAAAUGUGUUAAAGGAUAAUCCACCCAUUACCUUUUUCUUGAGCUUGUUUUUGUCUCACUUUUGCAGGUCAAAGGCAGAAAUGAGACAUACCUGCCGUGGUACCAUUAACCUCGCCACAGCCAACAUCACUGUGGAGGACUCCUGCAACUUUAUCAUUUCCAAUGGGGGCGCUCAGACCUACCAUCUGAAGGCUAGCUCAGAAGUGGAGCGACAGCGCUGGGUGACAGCUCUAGAACUGGCAAAAGCCAAGGCUGUGAAGAUGCUAGCAGAAUCAGGUAGGAAGCAAAGAAGACCUUGCCUGGAAAGCUUUCCAUAUGUCC